rnacentral:rRNA from 1 species
CUCUGUGACUCCUACGGGAGGCAGCAGUGGGGAAUAUUGCACAAUGGGCGCAAGCCUGAUGCAGCCAUGCCGCGUGUAUGAAGAAGGCCUUCGGGUUGUAAAGUACUUUCAGCAGUGAGGAAGGCGGAGUCGUUAAUAGCGGCCUCGUUUGACGUUAGCUGCAGAAGAAGCACCGGCUAACUCCGUGCCAGCAGCCGCGGUAAUACGGAGGGUGCGAGCGUUAAUCGGAAUUACUGGGCGUAAAGCGCAUGCAGGUGGUUCGUUAAGUCAGAUGUGAAAGCCCGGGGCUCAACCUCGGAAUUGCAUUUGAAACUGGCAGACUAGAGUACUGUAGAGGGGGUAGAAUUUCAGGUGUAGCGGUGAAAUGCGUAGAGAUCUGAAGGAAUACCGGUGGCGAAGGCGGCCCCCUGGACAGAUACUGACACUCAGAUGCGAAAGCGUGGGGAGCAAACAGGAUUAGAUACCCUGGUAG